GAGGGUAUAGCUCAGUGGCAGAGCACAUGCUUAGCAUGCAUGAGGCCCUGGGUUCAAUCCCCCAGUACCUCCA
rnacentral:tRNA from 1 species